rnacentral:lncRNA from 1 species
CAAUCCUGAUGUCUGUUCUGAUAGUCCAUUUACAUAUAACGGAAGCACUUAUUUAAAAAAAAAAAAAAAAAAAAAAAGCAAAAAACUAAUCUUCAAAACUCAUCAAAAUCCAUGUAAUUACAAUAAAAGUGUAGAGUGUACAAGCGAUUAUUUUUCUCUAUAGGGGUCUAAUUGAACGAAAUGACGUAUUUCCGGUAUUUGGCUCGCCCCGUUACUUCUUCGAAGUCAUAUUAAACAUCAAACAUUCUGUCUCUCUUAUCAAAACUCUAAGAAACAUAAAAAUAAGUCGUAAAUGCGUAAUCACUAAAAGAUUUAGAAUUAAUUUAUGGUAUAAAAUUUAUUUUCUCUUCUGUUAGAUGGUAUUUAUUUUUGAAUUAAAACCGCGAAAUUAUUUUAUAAGUUUGUUUAACCUAUUUAAAAUACUAAAAAAAUAAAUUAUCGAUGCGAUUUUAUGAGAUGAAACCAUAACUUAUAUUGACUUCAACUAUUGUUUCGACAUGUAACAAAGACAUUCUCUGGUAUCGUAUUUCGUGUAAAACAGAGCUUCACCACAUCGUUCUCCAAAUUCUAAAGUUCCAGACAAACAGAAAAGAUUCCUCCUAAAUGUUAUUUUUAACUUUUACUGCUGUUUCGAAGACGAUGAAUCUCUGUGACAAAGUGAAGUAGGACCCAUCCCUGUUAAAACAACAUAAUACUAAACUUCCGGGUAAUAUUACCAUAAUAUGUUUUUAUAAAGAGUGUUUAAAAUCUGCAGGAAUUUAGAUUUGCUAAUUGAUUUAUGUCCAGAUCGCGUUCGAAAUUAGAAUUUCCUGCAAUGUCACAGAGAUCCGCGGGAAAGACUAUUUAUCAGCUUCAGAUUUUUUUUUUUUUCACUUUAAACUCUGUAAAAACAAACGAAUAAUUGCUUUGAGUUAGAAAUAAACAUCUUUUGUUGCAUUUACUCGAGAAAUUGCCCGUUUCUGGUUGGUUCGACUAUAUUUCAAACAUUCCGAAUAUUUAAAAAGCGUUAUAUUUAAAUGCUCGGCUAGGAAAUAAGGUUUAAUCUAAGAAAACAUGUUUCACUUAUCGAUAAUAAUAAUUGCGAUUAUAUACGGAACAACUUCCUCUUCUUUCAAAUUCCAAUCUUCAAUACAAAAAGAAUUCCAGACCAUAUCUCUUUAAUUACAUCCAUAAAACGAACUGUUGUCGCUAGAGCCACAGUUUCGGGCCUCCCACAGGAAACCAGGCGGCAACUGGUCGCAUACUUGUUCCAGUGACGUCACUAACCUUGCCCCCCUUAAAAUUUAGCGAAUGGAGACCUUUAAGCCACGUGGCCGCCACACUACCUUCAUUGGACGAUCGAGACACGUCCGUAAAGGAAGCACUCCCUUCAAAGGUUCAGCGUAACUCAUAUACGACCUUAUUAUUGAGACUGAUUUAAUAGCACACUUGUUGGCAAUUGGAAAGAAGUUUUUUGAUAACCCAUAGAGAUAAUAAGCUAAGCGAGAAAAAUCCAAAUUCCUGCUACAGUGUUAUAUAAACGUUUUGACAUUUCCUAAUCACUAUAAUUUCCGUGUAAUUUUGGAUGAUUUCUUGUUUCCUGACUAAAAAACAUGGACAUAUACUUAUUUCAUGAUAAUAAUCAGAAGUAUUUUCCUGAACUAGGAGAAAAAACAAAACGUAAUUAAUGCGCUUGUUAAAUUCACACACAGAAGUUUUUUCAGACCGUCAUUAGAAUUUUAAAUUUUUGCGCUCCUUUGAAUAUAAACCAUUAAAAAUGAAUACAUUCAGUUGUUUAUGGUCGCAACUCCCUCAGAAGUACAUGAACGGGAUGAUAAUUGACACAGAGAAUAGAAGUUAUUUAUUACUGACAUCUGAAAUAAAUUUAUUUGACAAAAACAUAUUGAAUAAAAAACUUUAUUUACUUUUUAGCAUAGAACGAUUUUAUCUCGUUUCCUUAUUACGAAUCUACAAAACUAAACUUUUUAGAAGAAAAUUUGAAUGUCGAGCCUUUCAAAAUUAAGUAAUUAAAGUUUUAUAAAACAUAAAAAAGGAAUCAAAUUUUGAAUGUAAUAAUUGGAUACGCUCUUUUAAUAAUAUAAAACAGCCUCCUGUUUUGUCGGAAGACUAUAGAAGCGUGUCAAGUACUACAAAUGGCCUCUAAAUGUGAAUAAAGUAAAUAAAACCAAGUAUAUAAUUUUAUUUUCGGCAUAAUUUUUCUUAAGAAAAAUGAUAUUUUGAUGACCAUAGUUGUCAAGUCUGUAACUACAUGUUGCAUAUAAAACAGAUAAAAUUUAAUAUAGCAU